GAAGAGCUGUUUUUCUCUCUGGGGUGCCGGGGGUUGGUGAGGGGGGUUAUCGGACACUAGGCCCAUCUCAAACAUCUGCUAGCAGUGUAUGCCCAAUGUAAUUCCUAGUCCUGAGGACCAUCCCUCUGCCGUUCGGACCAUGGCAUUAAAUCUCAGAUCUGCCCUGACAUUGAGAUGCAGCCCCCAGGAGCACCAGCAGACCUCUUCGAUUUCUGCUCUGAUGCCAUGGAGUGCCGUUGGAGGAAAUCCAGGCACUAGGACCACCCUGAGCAUUUCAGAGGGGAAAAGGAAUUCCAUCUUGCUUUCUCCCCUGCUCAGCAACCAUGGUUCACCUCCCUGAUACACUCCCAUUCCAUUCCUAUUGCCUUGACCCUCUGGUGUAGAAUUAACUCCUGCUUUAAAUCCCCAGUCUUUGCUACUCGUUGUCACUGAAGUAACUGCCAGUACUUAAUACAGUGGUCUGUACUGAGGAACUACUGAAGAAAGCCUCGGGUGACGCCUGCCCCCCACCCCCCCAAAGCCCCUGGAUUUGCCCUGUCCCCAAACCUUCCUCACCUACUCUACAUCAUGCUAAGUGUUGUUCUCUGUCACACCUGUCUGAGUUCCAAAUACACAAUGCCUGGCAGUGCACAGGUUGGGGUGGGAUGACCAAGAAAAAAUAUUUAGUCACUAUUACUUUCUCUACAGCAGGUGCCCAAUGCAAGGAUCGUAUCUGUGCCAUUUUGGAUCAUGGGAUCAAACCUCAGACCUGUCCUGUCAUUGAGGUGGAUCUGUAGGCUGGACUCCAACCUCAAAGGGAAGGUGUUUUUUUUUUUUUUGGUGUGUGUGUGUGUGGGUGUGUGAGAGAGAGACAGAAAGGGGUUAAGGUUAACGGGGCAGGGCGAGAGAGCAAGGAGGAAGAGGAGGCCACUGUGGACACAAAAGCCGCUUCUGGGAAUGGAGACUGGGGCUCUUUGCAGCGAAUUGGUUCUGUUAGACUUGACUGUGGGUUGGAGGAGACUCGGGGCCCUUAAUUCUAUAGAUGGGUCUAACCUCUGGGUGCUCACAGUCAUGUCUCCAGAAUCAUUCUGUACAUACUCGGUCUCCCAUGAAGGGACUCUUCUGUGUCGGACAGCUGCUUCUAGGGAAGGGAAGUGGUUUGAAGAGAGGCAGGGAAGUUGGUCUACAUGAUCAUCUUACGAGAAACUGAAUUAUGGGGACUUUGGUGUGAGAGAUGCAUGUCAGUGGUGAGAGAAUGAGGUGCAGUGAAUAAAUUGCUUAGAAGCUGGAGAGCUGAAAAUGCAGGCAUUGUAUGAGUAACUGACUUUGCAAUAUGCAGAAGGUUGGGGUAUCUUUGGUUUUAGGAAUUUCAGCCUUAAUGGCCUGAUAAUUGGGGCUUGAGGGCUAGAAUAAAGGGGUCCAGUGGAAGAGUAGGUU